AGUGAACGCUGGCGGCAGGCCUAACACAUGCAAGUCGAACAGCAGCACAAGAGAGCUUGCUCUCUGGGUGGCGAGUGGCGGACGGGUGAGGAAUGCAUCGGAAUCUGCCCAUUUGUGGGGGAUAACCUCGGGAAACCGGGACUAAUACCGCAUACGACCUACGGGUGAAAGCAGGGGAUCUUCGGACCUUGCGCAGAUGGAUGAGCCGAUGCCGGAUUAGCUAGUUGGAGGGGUAAAGGCCCACCAAGGCGACGAUCCGUAGCUGGUCUGAGAGGAUGAUCAGCCACACUGGGACUGAGACACGGCCCAGACUCCUACGGGAGGCAGCAGUGGGGAAUAUUGGACAAUGGGCGCAAGCCUGAUCCAGCCAUGCCGCGUGUGUGAAGAAGGCCUUCGGGUUGUAAAGCACUUUUGUUGGGAAAGAAAAGCAGCCGGUUAAUACCCGGUUGUCAUGACGGUACCCAAAGAAUAAGCACCGGCUAACUUCGUG
rnacentral:rRNA from 1 species